rnacentral:rRNA from 1 species
AUUGAACGCUGGCGGCAGGCCUAACACAUGCAAGUCGAGCGGAUGAAGGGAGCUUGCUCCUGGAUUCAGCGGCGGACGGGUGAGUAAUGCCUAGGAAUCUGCCUGGUAGUGGGGGAUAACGUCCGGAAACGGGCGCUAAUACCGCAUACGUCCUGAGGGAGAAAGUGGGGGAUCUUCGGACCUCACGCUAUCAGAUGAGCCUAGGUCGGAUUAGCUAGUUGGUGGGGUAAAGGCCUACCAAGGCGACGAUCCGUAACUGGUCUGAGAGGAUGAUCAGUCACACUGGAACUUAGACACGGUCCAGACUCCUACGGGAGGCAGCAGUGGGGAAUAUUGGACAAUGGGCGAAAGCCUGAUCCAGCCAUGCCGCGUGUGUGAAGAAGGUCUUCGGAUUGUAAAGCACUUUAAGUUGUGAGGAAGGGCAGUAAGUUAAUACCUUGCUGUUUUGACGUUACCAACAGAAUAAGCACCGGCUAACUUCGUG